rnacentral:lncRNA from 1 species
GCAAGCUAUGCUCACGAGUCCUCUCUCUCUCCUUCUCUCUCUCUCGUGUCUGUGCAGCAGUCCCCAGACUCGAUGACUUCCAGUCAGAUGUUGGGUCCUGGUCUCAACCUGAGGGUCUGGGAGGACUGAUGCCUACCACAACAGUCAGGUAACACAGACUGCCUACCACACAGUCAGGUAACACAGACAGCUACCACACAGUCAGUAACACAGACUACCACCACAGACUGCCUACACACAGUCAGUAACACAGACUGCCUACCAACCAGGUAACAGAUGCCUACCACACCAGGUAACACAGAUGGCCUACCACACAGACUGCUACCACGCAGCCAGGUAACAAAGACUGCCUACCACACAAUCAGGUAACACAGACAGCCUACCACACAGACAGCCUACCACACAUCAGGUACACAGACUGCCUACCACACAGUCAGUAACACAGACUGCUACCACACAGUCGGUAACAAGACUGCCUACACACAGUCAGGUAACACAGACUGCCUACCACAACAGUCAGGUAAAACAGACUGCCUACACACAUCAGGUAAACACAGACGCCUACCACACAGUCAGGUAACACAGACUGCCUACCACACAGUCAGGUAACACAGACUGCCUACCACACAGUCAGGUAACACAGACUGCCUACCACACAAUCAGGUUACACAGACAGCCUACCACACAGGACAGCCUACCACACAGUCAGGACACAGACUGCCUACCACACAGUCAGGUAACACAGACUGCUACCACACAGUCAGGUACACAGACUGCCACCACACAGUCAGGUAAACACGACUGCUAC